rnacentral:rRNA from 1 species
AACGAACGCUGGCGGCAUGCCUAACACAUGCAAGUCGAACGAGACCUUCGGGUCUAGUGGCGCACGGGUGCGUAACGCGUGGGAACCUGCCCUUAGGUUCGGAAUAACUCCCCGAAAGGGGUGCUAAUACCGGAUAAUGUCUUCGGACCAAAGAUUUAUCGCCUUUGGAUGGGCCCGCGUUGGAUUAGCUAGUUGGUAGGGUAAAAGCCUACCAAGGCGACGAUCCAUAGCUGGUCUGAGAGGAUGAUCAGCCACACUGGGACUGAGACACGGCCCAGACUCCUACGGGAGGCAGCAGUGGGGAAUAUUGGAAAAGGGGCGAAAGCCUGAUACAGCAAUGCCGCGUGAGUGAUGAAGGCCUUAGGGUUGUAAAGCUCUUUUAACCGGGAUGAUAAUGACAGUACCGGGAGAAUAAGCUCCGGCUAACUCCGUG